rnacentral:rRNA from 1 species
CUGCUGCCUUCCGUAGGAGUUUGGGCCGUGUCUCAGUCCCAAUGUGGCCGUUCACCCUCUCAGGCCGGCUACUGAUCGUCGCCUUGGUGGGCCGUUACCCCGCCAACCAGCUAAUCAGACGCGGGUCCAUCUUGCACCACCGGAGUUUUUCACACUGAGCCAUGCGGCUCUGUGCGCUUAUGCGGUAUUAGCACCUAUUUCUAAGUGUUAUCCCCCGGUGCAAGGCAGGUUCCCCACGCGUUACUCACCCGUCCGCCA